AGGCAUCGCACUCGAGCCCUCUCCCAUAGACUUGUUCUGGGUCAGGCUCGUGGGCAGGCGCGCGGAGCCGCUUCAUCGACCUCCCUGUCAGUUUUGUCGUGGAGAUGGAUUUGUAUGUCCAGGAGUUUCUUAAACCACACCAUUGGUAUUUAUGGAAUCCAUCGCUGCAGUAGAGAAUGCCCUAGUUCUGCUUACUGGUUCCGUGAGAUGAUGACAUUGAUAAAUAUGUAGACUUUGAAGGCCCACACAUCAUGUUAAUCUGCCGGCUGUUGUCGAAUCUGCCUACGAGUCUGUAAGGUCCCAAAACUAAUAGUGCCAUGCCAUUUUGAUUGUGUCGACCCUCGAUAUAUCUCCAUAAGUUGGAUUUGAGAUUAAUAAUCUUUGGGCCAAGACUGUCUAAAUUUUUUAAGCUACACAUGGUUGGAUUCCUUCUUUUUUCGCAAGUGAAAAAUACAGCAACACAAUCUCAAAAGAAAAAUCUGAAAGCACAUUAUGUGCAUAAUGCAUUAUGUACAUAAUGUAGGUCCAGCCAUAGUUGUACUGAUAACUAAAGGCACAAGUAAGUCCCAAGUCGGUUAUCGGUCGGUUAGGAAUGCUUCUGGUAGAGUGAUAACAAUCCAUGAUGCCCAUGUAUACUGUUAGACUUGAUGUACUGCUUAUCUGUCAAGUGUUUAGAAAUUGCUGCUACCGCAUUUGAUUUCCUUUUACUUGUGGCAUUUGAAUUUUAGCCUUGAAACAGAAAGUGACAAUUUGGUAGCUUUUCCGUGAGUUUUAGGGUGUUUUGCUACAAUUCAGCUUGCUUAUCUGUUGAGUGCUUAGAAAUUGCUGCUAACUCAUUUGAUUUCCUUUUACUUGUGGCAUUUGAAUUUUAGCCUUGAAACAGAAAGUGACCAUUUGGUAGCUCUUCCGUGCGUUUUAGGGUGUUUUGCUACAAUUCAGCUUGCUUGGUAGUGGCAGGCUGCUCACUUAAUAAUGCACAGGAAACUUAUUUUUUCUAUUAUCCAUUGACAUGCCAUAUGAACGAAUAAUAAGUAAAUAGCUAGAUGUUGACACAGAUUCAAGAGUUUAUCAAUACACAAAUGCGCUCCAUUGCUUUUACAGGUUGCUAUUAAUUAGUGCAGUUUUGGUAAACUGGUAUGUAGAUCUAAUAUUGAGGUAUGGCUAUCUGAUAGAAAGAAUCAAAAGUAUCUCUCAGUCAUGUGAGGUUUUGCAUCGGGAAUAUUCCUAGAUAGAUAACAUGACAUCUGAAUGAAUAAUAAGUAGAUAGCUAGACUUUGAAGCAAGGUAGUCAAAAUCUAUAAUCUAGAUGCCGCCAUCAUGGAGCAGAGCAACGGGUCAGGAAGCAGAUAAUGAGGCAGACAAUUAUUCCUGAACACUGCCCCACCAACUUCUUGCUGCCUUGUAGCCUGCAGGUAACUCACUGGGUCUUGUGCCCUGAUCCCUUUGGGCAAGGGCCGGAGCCUCAGGCUUGGGUGCCCUCCCUCCACAGACCUGGGAUGUCCCCUGAAACCUUUUUUGUUUUCCUGUAAUUCGCUUCCUAGGAGGAUUGUGCCAAACUCCUGCUUUCCAAUGAAAUGAAACGCAAAAGUCUUUUGCAUUUUCUCAAAAAAAAAAAUUAUGUCAGCCUAAGCCAUUUGUUAGCUUGCACACCAAGCACGGAUCAGAGUGGUAGAUUUGAAGUGAAGAGUGCUUAGACUAGAGUCUGAAAUAGAUUGUUAUCUCUUAGAUCACUUCAUACUGACCAUAAAAUUCUCAGCCUUGCAGUAAGGCAUGUAGCUGAGUUCCGCAGCGUCAUACAAGAUGGUGCUCACUCACUGUGGGCUGUGGUCAACAGUUGUCUCAGUUGUCACCAGCGGCAUACCUCGUUGUGUGCAGAUCAAUAUCUUCCAGCCACGGUGCAUCUAGUGUAUCUUAUAGAUGGUUCCUAUCACGAGGUUGAUCUGGUUAUGCCCUGCCACUGAUGGUAGUUUCAAGCAGCUGGUUACAUAAUAGAAGGGCAAGAAGGCCAAAAUGCCACCAUAUACGGUUGCCAAAUAGCACCAUGUCAGCGCUGUGCUGGUUCUAGAAAGACUUAGUCAGAGUGCAGCAGAUUGGAUCCGGACUCAAGUGCCUUGGUGUCGGCUCCUUGGGCCUCGACUACAGCACCGUGGCUGGGUACAUUGGAAACCUGCUUGCCUCGCCGGCGUUCACCAUCGUCAACAACUCAACAUCAUGUUCAGGUUCACGUCAACAACUACUUGGCCGUGCCGUACCUCUACUGCUCUGAAAGCUGAAUACUAGAAUUUUUUUUCUCGUUUUGAUGUGUAUAAAGGAACUUGAGAAAACUCUGUUAUCAGUUUUUUGAAUGAAACAUUGUGAGAAAGGUGUAUGUUUUCAGUU